UACGUAGGGUGCGAGCGUUAAUCGGAAUUACUGGGCGUAAAGCGUGCGCAGGCGGUUUUGUAAGCCAGAUGUGAAAGCCCCGGGCUUAACCUGGGAAUGGCAUUUGGGACUGCAAGGCUUGAGUGCGGCAGAGGAGACUGGAAUUCCCGGUGUAGCAGUGAAAUGCGUAGAUAUCAGGAGGAACACCGGUGGCGAAGGCGGCUACCUGGACAGAAACUGACGCUGAGACGCGAAAGCGUGGGGAGCGAACAGG
rnacentral:rRNA from 1 species